GGGGCAGGUAGAGGUCCUUUUAUAGAUAACUGUUAACUAGUGUCACCACUUGCUAGUUCAGCUAUGCAAUCAGCAGCAGUUCCAUUUACAGAAAACCUAGCAUCUGUUUAAAAGUUUUGAGAUGUGAAUGAAUCAGAAACAGUGGAGCUAGAGUUUUAGGUGAAAAUGAAUGUGGGUUUUGAAUCUAAGCUUGUACCUUUCUCAGCAUUCAAAAAAAGUUGCGCAUAGCCAGAAAGCAUAG
rnacentral:misc_RNA from 1 species